AUGCCGCUGCGGCGGCUGCAAGCCCCUCGCCACGCGCGCCCCGCGGCCACGCUCUCCUCGGCGGCCGCCCACCACCUGUUCGACGGAAUCCCUCGCCCAAGCCGCAGCCCCUCCCUCCGCGCGGGCCACCCCGUCCCCGACCUCGUCUCAUCCCCCGCCGCAUUCUCGGCCGCCGUCGCGUCGUCCGGCCGGGCCACCCUCCCGGCGCUCCACGCGCUCGCCGUCGCCUCCGGCCUCGACGCCUUCUCCUUCGUGUCCAACUCCCUCGCCGCCCGCUACGCCAAGACCGGCGCCUUCCCCUCGGCGGCCCGGGUGUUCGGCACCGCCCGGGCGAGGGACGUCAGCUCCUACAACACCAUGCUCUCCGCGUUCCCGGACCCGGCCGAGGCGCUCGCGUUCGCGUCCUGGAUGCUCCGGUCGGGCGACGUGCGGCCCGACGCAGUCACGUUCACCGUCGCGCUGUCGCUCGCCGCCGGCCGCGGGAAGGUCGGCCUUGGGAUAGUUCGGCAGCUCCACGCGCUGGCGUCGCGGGCCGGGCUCGCCGCCGACGUGUUCGUCGGCAACGCGCUCGUCACGGCCUACUCACGGGGAGGGCUCCUCGGUGCGGCCAGGAGGGCUUUCGAGGAGAUGCCGGCGAAGGACCUGGUCUCCUGGAACGCGAUGAUCUGCGGGCUCGCGCAGGACGGCGGCUGCCCGGGGGAGGUGGUCCGGCUGUUCCUCCGGAUGCUCAGGGACGACGCCGUCCGGCCCGACCGGAUAUCCGUGUGCAGCGUGAUCCCGGCGUGCGGCGGCGAGGGGAAGCUCGAGCUUGGCCGGCAAGUCCACGGCCUCGGGGUGAAGCUGGGCGUCGACGGCCACGUCACCAUCGGCAACGUGCUCGUCGCCAUGUACUACAAGUGCGGCGCUCCAGCCUGCGGCCGGAAGCUCUUGCAGUCCAUGGGCGAGCGAGACGUCAUCUCUUGGACCACAAUCAUUUCAAUGGACGAGGACGAGGAGUUCAUCGCUCUGUACAAUGGCAUGCGGCGAGACGGCGUGUCGCCGAAUGAGGUCACCUUCGUGGCGCUCAUAUCGGCGCUGCCGGCAGGGUGCCCGGCGAGGGACGGGCAGAUGGUCCACGCGGUGUGCCUCAAGACCGGCCUCUCCGACAAGGCCGCCGCGUCCAACAGCCUCAUCACCAUGUACGCGAAGCUGCGGCGCAUGGACGACGCGCGGACGGUGUUCGACCUCAUGCCUCGCCGGGAGACCAUCGCUUGGAAUGCGCUGAUCUCAGGCUACGCGCAGAACGAGCGGUGCAGCGACGCUCUGGAGGCCUUCUCGUGGAUGGUCAGGUGCUUGAGACCCGACGAGACCACGUUCGCAAGCGUCAUCAGCGCAGUCACCGGCGUCGAGACGGUCUCCAUGGCCUACGGCGAGGCGUACCACUGCCAGGCCCUGAAGCUCGGGCUCGGCGGCAGCGAGUACGUCUCCGGCACCCUCAUCGACAUGUACGCGAAGCGCGGCAGCCUGGAGGAGUCCCGGAAGGCGUUCUACGGGACGGCGCACCGCAGCCUCAUCGCCUGGACGGCGAUGAUCGCCGCGAACGCCAAGCACGGGAGCUACGACGCCGUCAUGGGCCUCUUCGACGACAUGAUGUGCUCCGGUGUGGCCCCCGACGGCAUCGUGCUCCUCUCGGUCCUCACGGCCUGCCGCUACAAAGGGGAGGUCGGCACCGGCAAGGCGAUCUUCGACUCGAUGGCCGCCGAGCACCGCGUCGAGCCCUGGCCGGAGCACUACGCGUGCGUCGUCGACAUGCUAGGCCGAGCGGGGAGGCUGGAGGAAGCCGAGGAGCUCAUGAUGCAGAUGCCAUCCGGGCCGAGCAUCUCGGCUCUGCAGAGCUUGCUGGGAGCCUGCCGGAUCCAUGGCAACGCUGACAUGGCCGAGAGGGUCGCUGACGUGCUGACAGAGUCGGAGCCGGCGGAAUCCGGCGCCUACGUGCUGCUGUCCAACAUCUACGCCGAGAAGGGGGACUGGGGAGGCGUGGCGAAGGUGAGAAGGCAGAUGAGGGAGAGGGGCGUGAGGAAGGAGAUCGGGUUCAGCUGGGUGGACUUCGGCGCCGGCACCGGCACCGGCGAGUCCACGCAUCUGCACAAGUUCUCGUCCGACGACACGACGCAUCCGCGGACGGAAGAGAUAUACAGGGUGGCCGAGGGGUUAGGCUGGGAGAUGAAACUUUUGAAGGACCAUCUGCGCAUGGAAACAGAAAGCGUUUCUUGA
rnacentral:rRNA from 1 species